UAGGGAGACCUGCUCGAUUUCUACCGUAACCCAUACAUUUAUGCGGGGAAAUCAGCUAUCCCAAGGUCGUUACGAGACCGGAUAAUUUCUGGCUUUCAAACUCUUUGUUCGGUUCAGCAUCAUGUUUGAUGAACAUGGGCUAUUAGCUCAGGUGGUUAGAGCGCACCCCUGAUAAGGGUGAGGUCCCUGGUUCGAGUCCAGGAUGGCCCAUCUCUAUCAACCUGAAGUAACAGCAACAUCCCAAGCCGGAACUAAAACACAGCAACUGGUCUUGAAUUCUCUAUCAAGAGACUAGCAAGAAAGACUGCUGGAUUUUAACCAGCAUUUGAACCUUGAAAACUGCAUAAAGAAAAGAAUCAAAGGUAAAACCUUGUCAACCUGAAAAGAGUGACAAGGCUGUCCAAAAAAAGAAGCCCAAAGU
rnacentral:tRNA from 1 species